rnacentral:rRNA from 1 species
AUGCGGUCAACGGGUAUGGCGACCCCUCUCUGGAAUUGGUGCCGUCACGGACGAGGGCUUGAGACGGCUGACUGCGGGAUGCACGGCUGCUACGACAACGCAGUAGUGCAAGAAACGAAGGGGGGUGCGGAUGCGGGCGCUGGACAGCGUCUCAGGACAAAGGCGCGCGAGGCCAUGGAAAUGGAGGCGCGGCUGGAAGAGCUUGCCGCUGAACUGCAGCGAUGGGGCUGCUGA